GCGCGGGGUACUCCUUAAAUUGGCAACGAGUUCUUACUGUGACGUUUGAACAGGAUGCUAAAGGUCUCGAACAUUCCACACCCCAAUACCAGGUCCAGUAGAAUAUAAAGGCAGCCAUUACUAGACUUGCAAAGCAGGAGAUGAUGCACAUAACAAGGGCCUCAUGAAAGAUCAACCUUUAAAGCUUUCUUGGUGAAACAUGAAUAAACAAAAAGAUGUUAAAAGGAUAGAAGCAUGUUGCGAUUGGUUUACACAUAUUUCAAGUUCCUGAAACACAUGUUGACUUCUAUCGACGGUGUACGUAUUCGCAACGAGCAUCGUGCCAUGGUCUCUACCUAACCGAGGGCCUUAGGGACAGGCCGCAACGAGCUUGUGGGGAAAUCAUACGGGAAUCGUGCAGUCACCUUGUAAUUUUCUUGGUCUCUUGACAUAUAUCGUAUGAAAUCGUACAGAGAUCAUACAAUUUCGUACAGUGGCCUUGCGAUCUUCUUCGUAAAGGAAUUCUUUGCCCUGCAUUUCCAGCACACAACACCUAUUCACUGUAUUUACACCGCAGUCUAAUAGCACAACAAAGUCCAUUCGAAUGGGCCUACAGCUUUAUUAUUUUUAUUCUUUUAAGGGGGGGGGGGGUUCACACAUAUGAAUUAUCGUAGAGGUUAAAAUGGCCGUAAAGGCUGCGGAUGGAUUCGGACGAUUAUCUUACAGCCAGGGUUCGCCCCACAAGAAGGACAAGAGGGAUCCUGCAUAAUAAAAUGCGAUGAUAUUCAGGAUAUUUGGUGAGGUCAUCGUUUGCAAAAUGUUGUGCACUGUGCAGCCAGCAGUUUCCUAUGUGGUGUUUUUUUAACCACAGUAACCCAUUGUGGCGUCGUAUUGCACAAGUAACUAAUUUACACUGAAAACACAAAUAUGAACAUUGGGGGAGGAAAGGGUGUUGCAGGGAUUUCCAAUUAGCUUGAAAGGAAGUACUUACGAACGCCCCACACCAAACUCCUGCACCUGUGUCGAUGACGUGCAAGACCAAUGCGAAAAAGAUGCCCCCAAGCAGAAGUGUACACACUCCACAAAUGACCUGCACCACCCCGGAAGAGAAACCCAAACUCGCGUUGUAUUGUGGAUACCGUCCGGGACAGCAUGAGUUCUGAAUAAAAAAAAAAUGUUUGAAAUGAUUUCUGACAAAAAAAUAUGUCGGAAAUUGUAGUAUUGAUUGUGAUAAUUGUCCUUUAUGUAAUAUGCAAGGGAAAAUUAAGGCAAUACUACACUGUAAAAAAAUAUUGGGUAAAAUUUGUACCACCACGGGGGUAAUUAUGUGUCCUACCAAUUUGGAGCAGUAUUUUGGCCAAUGCGGGAAGCAUAUCGUCCAGUAAGGUUAAAAAAUAAGCAGCAAUUACUUUAGAAUGAGCAACAUUUUCAUCACACUUGAUAAAUAUAAAUGCCGAAUGUUGGUUGGACACACAAUUACCCUCUUGGAGCACUUUCACCCAAUAUGUUUUUAGAGUGCAGAGUAUCAGAUGUAAUAGUAGUAUUAUUAGUAGAAGCAGCAGCAGCAGUAGCAGAAGCGGUAGUGGUGGUAGUAGGUAGCAGAAGCGGUAGUGGUGGUAGUAGUAGUAGUAGUAGCAGUGGCGUACCUAGGGUUUUCCACAGGGGGGGGGCAAAUUCGUCCGCCAAAAAAAUUGACAAGCAAAAAAAAAAAAGGGUCUUCAACCACAAAUAAAGGAUUUCGUACCAGAAAAAAAAUUGACAAGCCCCCCCCCCAAAAAAAAAAGAAGGUACGCUAGUGAGUAGUAGUAGUACUAGUAGUAGUACGUCAUAUUGGUGGUUAUCGCGUAACAUACUAACGCCCAAAAUUAGCCUUUGGACAAGGCCAUGUGAUUGUUAUGAUGUUAAGCCUCUAUCACUCGCCUACCGAACGAAAAAAAAAUACGUACAGAUGAUGUAUAGGAAGAGUAAGAAGAACAAACGCAUACAUUAUAUUGGAGGGAAGAUAAAUGCAUGGUCAUGGAUCAACAGCAUUAUUGAAAACAUGAUUAUAACUUCCUCAUUUUAAUUUUUCUUUCCCUAUCUACUUUUUUGGUAAUAUUCCUAUUAUUUUGUGCAAUAAAAGAUAAGUCUCUUUUAUUGCACUGUUUGUCUGAUUUUCCUUCCCCUUUCCUUUUGAGGCCUUUAUAAUUUUCAAGCUCUAAGCUUAAGAUGAAGGUCUCCCAUAUUUCAAAAUGUAUUAUGUCGAUAUACGUAUAUCUAUAAUUUUUUUCUGCUAUUUGUUUUAAUGAUAAAAAAAAAGAAAUUUAUCAGGUAUAAAUAUAUUCCAAUUAGAUUGUGAGAUUGUAUAUAUGCAUAUGUUAUUAAUUAUGUCAUUUGCUUAUUGUUAUGUUAUGCUAAGAAAAAAGGAUUACACUUGUAUAUACUUUUUGUUAUUGGAAUGUGGAAAUAAAUAAAUCAAAUCAAAUCAAAUCAAAAUUCGACAUUUUCCCAGUGGAUUGGGACUCCACGAAAAAAAAACAGAAUACGACACAAACGAAAGAUACAAAUUAUACUGUUCAGGAUUGAUUAAUAUCCCCAGAAGAUGAUCCCUGUUCCGUGAUUGGUUGAAUUAAUGUAACAUGAAUUUUGAAUUACCUCCCUCGGUGAUGACGUCACGCGUACGAUGCGCACUUGUGGCGAUGUCAUGAUAUACUCCUUUGUGUUGCGGAUCUAUAUUAAAAGAAAAUAGGUGUAUAUUAUUCAUCAGAAGAUUAUAAUAAAUCAAAGAUAAAGUCUGU